AUUGAACGCUGGCGGCAGGCCUAACACAUGCAAGUCGAACGAGUGGCGGACGGGUGAGUAAUGUCUGGGAAACUGCCUGAUGGAGGGGGAUCACUACUGGAAACGGUAGCUAAUACCGCAUACCAUCAGAUGUGCCCAGAUGGGAUUAGCUAGUUGGUGGGGUAACGGCUCACCUAGGCGACGAUCCCUAGCUGGUCUGAGAGGAUGACGAGCAACACUGGAACUGAGACACGGUCCAGACUACUACGGGAGGCAGCAGUGGCGAAGAUUGCACGAUGGGCGCAAGCCUGAUGCAGCCAUGCAGCGUGUAUGAAGAAGGCCUUCGGGUUGUAAAGUACUUUCAGCGAGGAGACGUUACCCGCAGAAGAAGCACCGGCUAAAUCCGUGCCAGCAGCCGCGGUAAUAC
rnacentral:rRNA from 1 species